AUUGAACGCUGGCGGCAGGCCUAACACAUGCAAGUCGAACGGUAACAGGAAGCAGCUUGCUGCUUUGCUGACGAGUGGCGGACGGGUGAGUAAUGUCUGGGAAACUGCCUGAUGGAGGGGGAUAACUACUGGAAACGGUAGCUAAUACCGCAUAACGUCGCAAGACCAAAGAGGGGGACCUUAGGGCCUCUUGCCAUCGGAUGUGCCCAGAUGGGAUUAGCUAGUAGGUGGGGUAACGGCUCACCUAGGCGACGAUCCCUAGCUGGUCUGAGAGGCUGACGAGCCAGACGGGAACUGAGAAACGGUCCAGACUCCUACGGGAGGCAGCAGUGGGGAAUAUUGCACAAUGGGCGCAAGCCUGAUGCAGCCAUGCCGCGGGUAUGAAGAAGGCCUUCGGGUUGUAAAGUACUUUCAGCGGGGAGGAAGGGAGUAAAGUUAAUACCUUUGCUCAUUGACGUUACCCGCAGAAGAAGCACCGGCUAACUCCGUG
rnacentral:rRNA from 1 species